rnacentral:rRNA from 1 species
UACGUAGGGAGCAAGCGUUGUUCGGAUUUACUGGGCGUAAAGGGCGCGUAGGCGGCGUGUCAAGUCAGGCGUGAAAGCCCCGGGCUCAACCUGGGAACCGCGCUUGAGACUGGCAUGCUCGAGUUCGGGAGAGGAUGGUGGAAUUCCCAGUGUAGAGGUGAAAUUCGUAGAUAUUGGGAAGAACACCGAUGGCGAAGGCAGCCAUCUGGACCGACACUGACGCUGAGGCGCGAAAGCGUGGGGAGCAAACAGG